rnacentral:rRNA from 1 species
AUUGAACGCUGGCGGCAGGCCUAACACAUGCAAGUCGAGCGGAGCAGCGGCCGGGUGCGUAAUGCCUAGGCAUCUGCCUGGUCGUGGGGGAUAACGUCAAGAACCGGGAGCUAAUACCACUUCCUAUCAGAUGAGUCUUGGUCGGAUUAGCUCGUUGGUGGGGUAAAGGCUUACCAAGGCGACGAUCCGUAACUGGUCUGAGAGGAUGAUCAGUCAAACUGGAACUGAGACACGGUCCAGACUCCUACGGGAGGCAGCAGUGGGGAAUAUUCGACAAUGGACGAAAGCCUGACCGAGCCAUGCCGCGUGUGUGAAGAAGGUUUUCGGAUCGUAAAGCUCUUUUAGUUGGGAGGCGGUACCAACAGAAUAAGCACCGGCUAACUUCGUGCCAGCAGCCGCGGUAAUAC